rnacentral:lncRNA from 1 species
AAGAAACGACACCAUUCAUCCAUACCACUUUCUUUGUUACAUUCAGCUAUAACAAUCAGGUAUCUUUAUAGCUAUAACAUUCAGAUAUGUAUCAGUAAAUCGUAUCUUCCAUAGCUAUGUAUCUGUAUACCUAUGUAUCUGACAACAUGAGUAUAGGUAUAAUUCAGGACAGGUGAAGCAUAAAGUUACAAAAUAACAAACAGAAAAAUACAGAAAACUACAUGUUUUCUUCCUCGAUUUGUAAAUACAUGUGUUCCUCCUCGAUGCAGGGCACGGCCGAGACAACUUUGCGCUGCUCCUUGCUUCCUGCAAUGUGACCACGCCCUGCCCUAGAUACCUGUGUUCCAACUAUUACGAAACGAAUAUGUUAGACAUCAGCUUGCUUGUUUCUUUGAUUCUUCGGUGGAGAGAAACCAGAGAAUCGGUGUGCACAAAUGUCAGCCAAGGAGUAGACCUUAAUCACGCACGUGAGAGGGGAGGAGGUUCCUGGGGAUGAGCAGCCAGCCAUGGAGGCAAUAACAGGAAGGGUGGCCGUCGCCUGUGCAUCGCCUAGACAUAGCUUGGGGGAGGCUCUCUUCCUCUCGUCUGCAUCUCUUUGCUGAUGAAAUCAUGAAAGCAUAUGAUAAAUAAAUUUUAAGAAAAUAAAACAUUUCUAGACUUGAAUCCAGCGGUAAACCUACAUAUGCCAGUAGCAGGAAACCACAUGAACCGAUGCCUUGACUGCAUACCACACACCCGUGAGUGGGGAAUCAAACCAGAAAAAAAAUCAUGAGAGGUGACACAAGCGCAACACACCAACGAUGGCCGCCGCCGGAGUGGAUCGGAGAAGGGGAUGAGCCUACGGGCUGGGUGCUCCGCCCAUCGCGCUGUUUGUCGACCACGGCAGAGAUCGGGAUCCUUCUUUCUCGGCUUGGCUAUCAUCAACAACAUUAUAGUGGAACCUAAAUCUUAUAAAGUAGUAAUUCAUGGAUACUUCUGUUUUGUCACACAAACCUCUGCUUUAUAGGCAUCAAAAAACUAUAGAUACUAGUCCACAAAAUGCCUCGAGUUCCAUCCUAAUAUAUCUUCUUCAUUGGUUACACAUCAUCUUCCUCAACUAUGAGGCGGCCUUGCUUUUUACCAACCUAGAUAACCUGGAAUUAAUCAAUGAAAGCAUCAGUCAAUUGAAGCUUGAUAAUCACAUAAUGCAUGACUACUUUGAAGCAAAGGUUAAGUAACUACAGAUUAGAACAUAUCAAGCUUGACCUAUACUUUUUAACUAAUAAUCACUUUACCGGCCUCCAUGACAUAAACUGACAUGGCAUAAUGACAUAAUAACAUACUUUUUUUCUUUCUAAAUUGCAUAAUUGAAAAGAAGCAUGAACUACAAGCAAAAAAAAGAACCAAGCAUUACAUAUUAGGCAGAGCAUGUGACAUUCAUUGGCAAGCAUGCUAGUACCUUUGGGAACCAAGCAUUACAUAUUAGGCAGAGCAUGUGACAUUCAUUGGCAAGCAUGCUAGUACCUUUGGACCGCCUAUAGGUAUACUCCUGUGGGCGCUGGCUGGUGGCCGACAUUAUCAUGAGAUCAUAACAUUCUUCUCUUUUGUUUCUCAUUUUCGCUUUCAUUUUAUUUCUCUUCCCUGCACAAUUAGCAUGCUCUCACACUUCCUCUAUCAAUGACAAGGCAGCUCUCCUGUGCACCAUCUAUGCUCCUGCCCUAUGUUUAUUUUUUUGUUAAAGAGAAACUUAUUGUGUUAGCGAGAGAGAUAGAACUGCCUUAUGGACCUUCAAUUAAUCAUGCAAAAGCAAGAUAAUAGGUCAAAAGAAGCACAUGUCCCAGCAGUUGUCACUCAAUUUAUAUAUAAUCUGUGAGAAAUUAUGCUGCUUAAUUUUGGAUUUGCAAAGUGUAAGCUUUUCACAUCUGUAGGUGUAGCAGGUAAUAGCUCUGAACCAAAUUGGAAAAAACUGAAGAUUGAAUCAAUUCUAUGCCUCACAAUUUCUAUGAACUCUACAUAGCCAUCGUUUAAACACCACAUGGAUAAAAAAAUAUGAACUGAACUUGACAAAAUAAAAAAAUCAGAACCUUUCUAUGGCUGGCCAUCGAUCGCCAUAUAGGGCAAGGUAAGUAGGCAUACACGUACAAGAAAGCAAACAAGAUUGAUUAAUACUUCAGUUUAACUUCAAGUGGUUGAGUUAGGACUUAGGAGGGUUUAGUAAGCAAUAAAAAUACAUCAGUUUAACAUCAAGACCUUAUACGUACCCUGUGACAGAAAUCAAAAGAAUAUACAUUGAUCUUUCAUUCAGUGGCACAAAGUAGAGAGCAGCAUGUGGAACCUCUGUACAGGAAGUAAAAUUACCUGAACACCAAUCUUUAUCUAACAGUUCUCAAUUCUGUAAACUCCAUCAUACUGCACACCUGAUUCAGGAGCAUAUGAGCAACGCUUCUAUUUGUGGGACCUUUAUAAGAUAGUGUAGUCAAAUGUAAGUCCACAAACAAGAUAGUGCAGAACAAUAGAUGGCCUCCAUAUAUGCUAAAAAAAUUGUACCAAUGAAAAGCAAAUCAUGGAAAACAAUAACAGGCAUCGUUAACACAGUUGAGCUAACAGCAUGAUUCCUUCAUAUCAUCCACUCAUCAAAUGCUGAUAUUUUCUGAAAUAUUUAUGGCAAGAAGAACAUACGACACAACCCUUACAGGAUAAAUACGUUCAGAGCAAUCUAGAUUUGAUGAGAUGUGCACGGGGGGUAGGAAGCUCACCACGCCCACGUGAGGGGGGCAGGGUAGGAGGAAGCAGAGCCAUGAGGGAGGGAGGGAGGGCUCGUGCGUUCGGUCGUCCAGCUGCUGCUGCAGCUGCAGGUCGUGUGUCCAGAUCCGGGGCAGUCAUC